GAAAUCAUAUGUCAAGCUCUCCUUGAAGGUUGCUUACAUUUUAAAUUUUGACAGUAUUAUGUUUUUUUCUUUCUUCCUGCGUCACUGAACUUUAUUUUUUUAUCGAAUCGCUGAGUUUGGAGGAGUGAGAGCACAAAAAUGACGCACUCAAGAAUAAUUUCGUCUUCAAAAAUCAAAAUCGUAAUAACCUACAAUAAAUUGUUGAAGACAAAAUUUAAGGUUAUGUAGUGGCCUUGGAGACCAUGAGUGAGCUGUGCAAGUUUGGUUUGUUUACCCUCAUGGUUCAAGAAGGCAUCAUCUCUACUCAUGAACAAACGAUCCAUCAUCACAUUCAUAUUGGAUAUUAUCAAUGGAAGAGUUUUCUAGUUCAAGGCGUUGAAGCUGUCACAAAUGGGACAUAUUGGGCAUUCGGAAUCAUCAUACUUGGUUACUUAUUCUAUCUGAUAUUCGUGAGACAGGUCGUUGCUAAUUUAUCCGAUACCAAGAAUCCCUUCAAAAGGCUAGAAACACCACUAGAAGAUCCAAACGUGUCUGCCGAUUAUGCAAACAGCACAUCAUCUUUUUUCACACCUGAUUAUGAGGCUACACCGUUCAUUCCCUAUGUUCCUUCUUUCACCCUCAGCGCGGAGGAUGCGAAACUCAUGCGACCCUCUUUACGGCAAGUUUGGUCGUUCGCCCGCGAGCCAACGAGAGGGCCGAGCGCUCUGGAGAUCAUCAAAGCGGAGAUCCAAGAGUCGCGGAGACUGCGGCACCAACUGGAGAGCGACCUCGAGAAGAUCCUGCAGGAGAACGAAGGACUCGCCACGGACAGGUCUGAUUGGGCCGAUCAGCUCCUCCAUUUCAAAGUCAACAGGACAACGCUCGCAGAGAGGCUCACCGCCAGCAAAAACAGGCUGACGGCAUCAUCAAUCGUGGACCACAAAAUUUUGGAGCACCGCCUCGCCGCAUCCAAAACCGAAAUCCAGGAGCUGCAACUACAAAUCGACGAGCUGAAAAGCGAGAAGCAGUCGGCCAUCGAGAUGGUCAGCAAGAUUCUCUUCCGGCCGGACUAUCCCGGCCAUCGCCCCAUGCUCGGCCAGCACGGGUACCACCCUUCCGGAAAUUACCUCAACUUCGCCGACGAUGACUCCCGUAACUCCCACCCUGGCGCAGGUGCGCCCAAGUCCUCCAUCUACUUGGGCUCAACAUCAUGCGUCAACUUGACAAUUUCCAACAUCACUGAGCCCCCGCGCGAGAACUGCUCCGGUCAGUUCUGUAGGAGCUCGGACGUUCCGGAGAACGGCAUGUCUCCGGAUCCGCCUCGGAAUAUCGAUCCGGGUGGAGUGUAUGGUCCGAAUCAUACUUGGAGACCCCAUCCGAAUCUACUCCGGAAGAACUCGGAUGGUCCCGAAAUCCGCGUCUCUCCGGAUCCGCUCCGGAAUGUCCACCUGGAUUCAGGGUGUGUCCCGGAUUGCUCGAAUAAAUACCGUGUGAACUUGAAAGUUGCAGGAAGCGGCAUUUCUUUGGAUCCGCUCGCGAAUGGUGCUGCUUGUCGUCCGGAUCCUGUCGGCAGCUGUUCUAGCCCGGAGGCAACUUGGAUAUGGAACCACCAGACCGCAGAUUCACACCGGAAUAACUCUGUCCUUGAAAUUAAUCCGGAUCCGUACCGGAACGUCGAAAAUAUAAAUAAUGUUACCGUAAACUCUUCCGGGAACUCAAUAGAAGCUGGAGGAGCUGACACGGCGCGGAAACAGCUAUUGAGUAUAGUGGAUCCAUCAAUGUCGUUUGGGGUGGAGAGCAGUGCCUUGGGCUCAAGUUUUUGUGCAGAGUUCUGCUGCAGUGAGAGCAUCGUCACACAUUGCUCAAGCUCUGAGGAGCCUGAUCGUCCGACUGGAGAGGGAUCUGUCCAAGUUGAUGUACGAGAAACAAAAGCAGACACUCAACUUGAAAACCACCCUCGGGAGCAAGAGGGAAAUGAUCCAUCUUCAGAGGUCAUUGGAGACGGUGUGACCCCUGAGAGACCUCGUACUUGCUCCGGUCCUGUCACAGGAUCUCCCCUGUUUCAGCAAUUUCUCACGAGCUACGUCAAGAAUGCUCCACCAGAAUAAAACUUGUCCGGCCCAGUUACCUUCAUGCCAUUUCUAUUGGCAAUACUUCAACAUCCACCACCCAUUUUUGAGUUUUCUAAUCACUGUGUAGUAAGAAAAACUAAGCCAAAAUUGAUUGUUUUUUAUUUUAUUUCUUUUUCCUGCAUGUUAUCAUUUUAUGACCCAUUCCGGGAAGAAGCAAAAUGCAGGGAUCACUAUUUAAUGCAAGGGAAGAAAAGUAGGCACGCCGACAAACGUGAGGUGCUUGACGCAUGGAGACAUUAUUUACAAAUUUGAUUGUACUAAACCACGCGAGGGAUCACCAAGACAGCAAAAU
rnacentral:lncRNA from 1 species